UGGGGAAUCUUGGACAAUGGGCGAAAGCCUGAUCCAGCCAUGCCGCGUGUGUGAAGAAGGUCUUCGGAUUGUAAAGCGCUUUAAGUUGGGAGGAAGGGCAGUAAGCUAAUACCUUGCUGUUUUGACGUUACCGACAGAAUAAGCACCGGCUAACUCUGUGCCAGCAGCCGCGGUAAUUCAGAGGGUGCAAGCGUUAAUCGGAAUUACUGGGCGUAAAGCGCGCGUAGGUGGUUCGGUAAGUUGAAUGUGAAAGCCCCGGGCUCAACCUGGGAAGUGCAUCCAAAACUGGUGAGCUAGAGUAGGGCAGUGGGUGGUGGAAUUUCCUGUGUAGCGGUGAAAAGCGUAGAUAUAGGAAGGAACACCAGUGGCGAAGGCGACCACCUGGGGUCAUACUGACAAUGAGGUGCGAAAGCGUGGGGAGCAAACAGG
rnacentral:rRNA from 1 species